UACGGAGGGUGCAAGCGUUAUUCGGAUUUACUGGGUUUAAAGGGUGCGUAGGUGGGCAGGUAAGUCAGUGGUGAAAUCUCUGAGCUUAACUCGGAAACUGCCAUUGAUACUAUCUGUCUUGAAUUAUCUGGAGGUAAGCGGAAUAUGUCAUGUAGCGGUGAAAUGCUUAGAUAUGAGGUAGAACACCAAUUGCGAAGGCAGCUUACUGCGGAUCGAUUGACGCUGAGGCACGAAAGCGUGGGGAUCAAACAGG
rnacentral:rRNA from 1 species